AGCAGGCCUGCCGAAUGCAGCCUGCCGUAUUUUCUGGAGCAGGUCUGCCGAAUUCAGCCUGUCGAAUGUAGCCUGCUGUGUUUUCUGGAGCAGGUCUGCCGAAUGCAGCCUGCCGUGUUUUCUGGAGCAGGUCUGCUGAAUGCAGCCUGCCGUAUUUAAGGCAAGUGUUAGUGGAACACAGUCAGGCCCAUGUGUGCACAUACUGUCUCUGGCUGCUUCUGCACCAUCUGGGUAGAGGUGAGUGGUUGUGAAAAGGCCGCAUGAGCUAUAGAGGCAAAAAUGUUUGCAAUCUGGCCCUGGAGAGAAAGUGUCUGCUGAGUCUGCUCUAGAGGAGAGCCAGCACGGGCCUGAGGAGCGUGACACAGCGAUGUGGCAGCUCCAACACAGUGGUAGUGAACCAGACGCCACACAUAUGCCAACCAGAGGCGAAGGGCAACAGUAAGCCACAGGGCCAUGCAGGGACCACCACGAAGCCGCUGAGAUAAAUGAGCCAGCACAGACAACCGCACAGUGCUGCACAAGUGAAGCAGGCUGCACAGGUGCCCAGAGUGAGGUGCUGCUUACGUACGUACAGAACAAGUCUGUUACAGAAGUGGAGAAACAUGCUUGGGAAGACAUAUGCCAUCUUCAAAAUCAUGAGCAACUCUGGGAAGCUAGAGGGAGAGUGAAAAAGACCAGGAGGAAAGUAGCAGGCUGAAAUGGGGAGGGGACAACAGGAGCUUCAUCUGUAUCCCGAGCAUUCUCCUUCCUUUGAUGAAGGGAUAACCUCUGGGUGGUGGGUUUGCAGGUACAUCUAUAUUAACCUCUGAAUCUUCUGUAUGCCCUAAGUGAAAUUUUCUAUUAAGUAUUAAAUAUUUCAUAAUUCAAAAUCAAGGACGCCAGUACUUUCAUUCUUGCUCUAUAACCAAUAUCUAAUAUCUUAGGUGUUUAACACUUUAGUACAUAUGCUAAAGGAAUGGAACUAAACGAACUUUCAAGUCUAAACAGAUGUUCCUUGAUAUUUCCAAUCUGAUCAAGUAUCAGGAGAAGACAUCCCAAGAAGCUACCCACACCCGCACUGCUGCAGAGUCCAAUGUGCAGGGCAUUCCUUCCACCGAAGCCUCCACGGGCAGAAGCUGAGCGCCUCGCCUGCCCCGCGUCGCUGCACUGAGUCUGACGUGCAGGGCAUUCCUUCCACCGAAGCCUCCACGGGCAGGAGCUGAGUGCCUCGCCUGCCCCUGUCCGCCGCACUGAGUCUGACAGGCAGGGCAUUCCUGCAUUCCUUCAACCGAAGCCUCCACGGGCAGGAGCUGAGCGCCUUGCUGCUGACUGCCCCGCGUGUGCUGCACGGGGCAGAUGUUGAAACUGUUCUCCUUUGACCCUCUCCUACCACUCUACAAAAAAGCACAGCCCCUCAACAGACAGUUCUAU
rnacentral:lncRNA from 1 species